ensembl:lncRNA
AAAUAUCACAGGCAACACUGCCCAGCAGAAAAUGUAAGAGGCCACACACGCAAGUUAAAGUUUCUGGUAGCGGCAUUAAAGAAGUAAAUGAACAUAAAAAGAAACAGGUGCAGAUAAUUAAACAAUCAUUUCCUCCACUGUGUUCAAGAUCAUUAUCAUUUCAACGUGUAAUCAACAUCAAGACUGGGGACACUUUAUGUUCUUGGUGCCAUCUUUGAAUCUGACACACAUUUCACACUUGUGCACGUCUCAGUUUAGAGGCUGAAAUUUCACUGGAAAUCCUUGGCCAGCAGCCCCGCCCUUGCUCUCAGAACAGCACCUCCCGGAAGCGUGGCUUGGUGCUUCCAGUCCAGUGGUGACGCUCCCUGCGGAAGCAGCUGGCUACCUGUGCCCUCACCUGGGACAGCAUCGUCCAAACCGCAUUCCUGGGGCAUCUUGUUCCUGGUUGUGUGAACGGGUGAUUCUCAAGUCACUGCUGGAAUCAGAUUUUCCUGGGAGCAUGUGUGCUAAGUUGCUUCAGUCACGUCCGAGUCUUUGAGACCCUAUGGGCUGUAGCCCGCCAGGCUCCUCUGUCCACAGGAUUCUCCAGGACUUCUCAGAGCCUUUGAUGUGGCCAUGAGAAUGAAAAGCAGGUGAGGUAGGGAGUCCCUGUUGGGCCAGCACACUGAGAACCCUGGGCCUGAUACUCCGAGGCAAGAACUGAGUCUAUUUCUCCCUGUGUCUCCAGGCCGCUUUGGCACAGAGUGGCCCCUAGGUGUGUCCUGCCCACAGCAGGCGCCUGGCAGAGACCAGUCAUUAUAAACAAAACUUGGCUAAAGGAAUUCCCCGAUGGUCCAGUGGUGAAGAAUUCAGUUGCCAACUCAGGAGGACACCAGCUGGAUCCCUGGCCCGGCGAGAUCCCACAUGCUGCCGGGUUACUAAGCCCACGUGCCACAGCUACUGAGCCUAUGCUCCACAGCCCGUGCUCUGCAGCAAGACAAGCCCACACACCACAAAUGGAGAGUAGCCCCCACAGCAGCGAAGACCCAGCACAGCCAAAAACAAACGGGCUAAAGAGAAGAGCUGAAACAAAGAUAUGUUAAAGCUCAUAGGAAGGGUCAGAUCCUCCGCUUAGAGGAUCAGGGAAGACUGCCUGGAGGAGGUGACAUCGGAACUGAGCCUAAAGGGUAAACCUACGAAGAAUAGGAGUGGCAGCUGGCCUGUGCGGCACCCUCAUGAGAAUUAUGAGAAGGCUUGCCGUCCAGGCUGCUCGGCUUGGUGAGAGUGAGCAGAGAGCAAGCUGGAUUUCAGCCUUGACCCACCCCCUCGGCCAGGCACUUGAGCAGUGGGCAACCCGCGCAACCGUACGGGG